rfam:Nasonia vitripennis chromosome 2, whole genome shotgun sequence.
GGAAGUGUGUGCUAGUGAUGGCACAGCUGAACAUUGAUCGCUAACUAGUAGAUAUAUGGCAGAUCUGCUCAGUGGGUGUUGUCACGUGGUCGCUUCAAGUAGCUUGUGCUCGGCUCCCGAUGCGCCUACAAACCGAGGCCUGUCUCGUGGCCCCUGGCACCUGUAGGCCCGCACGGUCGAGUCUUCACGUCGCUCCUCGAACUACCGCGAUUUCCAAAUUGGGGGGCAAUCGAAUAGGUCAGACGAGGUAAUUGUCGCUUCCAUAUACAAGGCGCUGCAGUUCUGCAGUGUGCCCUUUUUGUCG